CUCUGAAUUCGAAUGUUGGUAGAAAAUAAGUUUAAAUUAAAAGGCAUCACACAACACGCCAAGCUCACGCAACAACAUUAUUUUCUUUGCUCACUCAAUAGUUCAUUAUGGAAAUGAAAAUUGUGCGACAAUAAAAGAACAUAACAACUUGCAUUUGAUUGCAUAGUGCACUGAUUACACACGAACGAACAAACAGAAUAUAAGUAUGUAUGUAGAUGAUUCCGGGUAAGAUGAUGAUGAGAACUGUUUACAACAGGCUUUGAGAAAUAUGAAUGCAAUUAAAAGAAAAGAACAAAAACCCUCUAGAAAGACACCAUCAUUGUCACGUAUUGGAUUGCAUUGCAUUGUGAUGGAGAUGAUGUGAGGAUACGGGAUGGGAGAGAGGGCAAGAGGUAAAAAGUAAGUAAGUAGGUAGGUAUAUUAUUGGCUUUCUUUAAAUUGUUCUGUUACAGGGAAUUCAUGCAAAGGCACAUUAUACACAGCACCUUACAUGUAGAAAACCAAUAUCAAAAGACUCCACACAACUGGAUCUUUGUUGAAGGAAUGUAAGUAGUUUUUAAAAGUGUUCAGAGACUGCGCUUGCGCUGACUGGAAUCCUCAGACUCACAUAAAAAAGAAAUUAAGGAAGGAGCAACAAGAUAAUCAAGAAAAUGAUGGUGAUAAUUAAUUAAUUAAUUGAAAAUUAUUAAACUUGAAGGAUGAAAUGUUAAAAUACUAAACACUAACAAUACUCAUAACAUAUUAUUGAAAAAGUUUGAAUGAAUAAAAAGAAAGCAAAGGUGAAGUCAAAUGAUACAUAGUCACAUAGAAGUAAAUAAAUCAAGGUGUUUACUGUGCCGUAAAAGAAUGAAAUGAUAGAAAGAGCAAUUCAGCUUGCUUUAAUAAUGAAGAAAAAUGAUAGUAUUUGAUACUGAUUAAAAACAAACUUUGCAGCUCAAGCUAUCAUAAUUAUGUAUUUUAAUAGGUGUUAAGGCUUAAAACAGAGAGAAAGAUGUAUAAUUUGAAUUUCCAUUCUUUCUUCUCAAGGCUGCAACGGUCUCAUAAAAAAGUAACGUGGUUAAGGUGUAGUUCUAAAAGAAAAACAAAUCAUGUUCACAGAGAUUUGAAACAUGAACUUUGCAACAUAUGUAGUUUUGUAUAUAUGGCUAUGCAUUUAUACUUGAUAUAUGUAUGAUUUAAAAUACACAUGCUAAUUUAUAAUUUUAGAUAAUUGUUAGAAAUGCAGCCAAAGGAUGUAUGUAAAAUGGUUUAAAGAAGGAGAAAAAGGCAUAGAGAAUAGAAAAUGGAAGUAAGUAAAAAGAUGGUGGAUCUUCCGUUGAAGAAGUGAGUUUUGGUUUGGUUAGUUUUUUGUUUUUUUUUCAUUCUUUCAUUGUACUUACAGCCUGCACCUGGACAAAUUUGAUCAAGAAGUUUCAAAUCUGUUCGUUU
rnacentral:lncRNA from 1 species